rnacentral:rRNA from 1 species
GACGAACGCUGGCGGCGUGCUUAACACAUGCAAGUCGAACGGACAGGCCCUGCUUUUGUGGGGUGCUCGAGUGGCGAACGGGUGAGUAACACGUGAGUAACCUGCCCUUGACUUUGGGAUAACUUCAGGAAACUGGGGCUAAUACCGGAUAGGAGCUCCUGCUGCAUGGUGGGGGUUGGAAAGUUUCGGCGGUUGGGGAUGGACUCGCGGCUUAUCAGCUUGUUGGUGGGGUAGUGGCUUACCAAGGCUUUGACGGGUAGCCGGCCUGAGAGGGUGACCGGCCACAGUGGGACUGAGAUACGGCCCAGACUGGUACGGGAGGCAGCAGUGGGGAAUAUUGCACAAUGGGCGGAAGCCUGAUGCAGCGACGCCGCGUGCGGGAUGACGGCCUUCGGGUUGUAAACCGCUUUCGCCGGUGACGAAGCGUGAGUGACGGUAAUGGGUAAAGAAGCACCGGCUAACUACGUG